AUCCCAUGAUGUGGGCACUUUCGUAGCAACUUCUUAAACCUCUCUCACGUAUCAUAUAAAGUCUCUGACUCUAACUGGUAGAAGGAAGAGAUAUCAUUCCGCAUCUU